rnacentral:tRNA from 1 species
GCCCCCGUAGCUCAGUUGGUAGAGCAUGGUGUUUGCAACGCCAGGGUUGUGGGUUCGAUUCCCACGGGGGGCC